rnacentral:rRNA from 1 species
UACGGAGGGUGCAAGCGUUAUCCGGAUUCACUGGGUUUAAAGGGUGCGUAGGCGGGCAGGUAAGUCAGUGGUGAAAUCUCCGGGCUUAACCCGGAACUGCCGUUGAUACUAUCUGUCUUGAAUAUCGUGGAGGUAAGCGGAACAUGUCAUGUAGCGGUGAAAUGCUUAGAUAUGACAUAGAACACCAAUUGCGUAGGCAGCUUACUACACGAUCAUUGACGCUGAGGCACGAAAGCGUGGGGAGCAAACAGG